UUAAGUUCAGCGGGUCUUCCUACCUGAUCCGAGGUCAACCUUGGGUAAAUAAGGCUUUUUAACGGCCGGAACCCGCAGCACGCCCUGAGCGAGGUGUUUUCUUCGCUACUACGCUCGGUGUGACUAGCGAGCCCGCCACUGUUUUCAGGGCCUGCGGGCAGCCGCAGGUCCCCAACACGGGCACGGGGGGCCCGAUGGGU
rnacentral:misc_RNA from 1 species